AACCACCUACGGGGGGCAGCAGUGAGGAAUAUUGGUCAAUGGGCUUACGCCUGAACCAGCCAAGUCGCGUGAGGGAAGACUGCCCUACGGGUUGUAAACCUCUUUUGUCAGGGAGCAAUUGGCGCUACGUGUAGCGUUAUCGAGAGUACCUGAAGAAAAAGCAUCGGCUAACUCCGUGCCAGCAGCCGCGGUAAUACGGAGGAUGCGAGCGUUAUCCGGAUUUAUUGGGUUUAAAGUGUGCGUAGGCGGUCCGGAAAGUCAGCGGUAAAAGCCCGGGGCUCAACCCCGGCGAGCCUUUG
rnacentral:rRNA from 1 species